UGGGGAAUAUUGCACAAUGGGCGCAAGCCUGAUGCAGCCAUGCCGCGUGUAUGAAGAAGGCCUUCGGGUUGUAAAGUACUUUCAGCGAGGAGGAAGGCGUUGUGGUUAAUAACCGCAGCGAUUGACGUUACUCGCAGAAGAAGCACCGGCUAACUCCGUGCCAGCAGCCGCGGUAAUACGGAGGGUGCAAGCGUUAAUGGGAAUUACUGGGCGUAAAGCGCACGCAGGCGGUCUGUCAAGUCGGAUGUGAAAUCCCCGGGCUCAACCUGGGAACUGCAUCCGAAACUGGCAGGCUAGAGUCUUGUAGAGGGGGGUAGAAUUCCAGGUGUAGCGGUGAAAUGCGUAGAGAUCUGGAGGAAUACCGGUGGCGAAGGCGGCCCCCUGGACAAAGACUGACGCUCAGGUGCGAAAGCGUGGGGAGCAAACA
rnacentral:rRNA from 1 species